GUACACGCUGUGACUAGCAUAUCAAUAAGCGGAGGAAAAGAAACUAACAAGGAUUCCCCUAGUAACGGCGAGUGAAGCGGGAAGAGCUCAAAUUUGAAAUCUUAAAGGGUUUCCCUUUACGAAUUGUAGUUUAAAGAAGUGUUUUCUGUUGAGGUUUUGGUAAAAGUUCUUUGGAAUAGGACAUCAUAGAGGGUGAGAAUCCCGUAUUUGACCUUUACUUUCAACUUUGUGAUACACUUUCAAAGAGUCGGAUUGUUUGGGAAUGCAGUCCAAAAUGGGUGGUAAAUUUCAUCUAAAGCUAAAUAUUGGCGAGAGACCGAUAGCGAACAAGUACCGUGAGGGAAAGAUGAAAAGAACUUUGAAAAGAGAGUUAAACAGUACGUGAAAUUGUCGAAAUGGGAAGCGUUUGACACCAGUGUCGUUUUUCUGAAAAUCAAUUAAAGAACUGUUUAUGCUAAGCUGUUUAGACUUUAUCAGCUAUCUGUUUAGUUUUGAGCUUUUCUUUAAUGCACUUUUCAGUUAACAAGUCAACAUCAAUUUCUUUUGCUGUAAAAAAGCUUGAGGAAGGUGGCUUGAGAUUCGUCUUAAGUGUUUAUAGCCUCUUGCCUAUGCAGUCGGAGAGAUUGAGGUCUGCAGCGUAGAUCCUUCGGGGCUAAAUGCAUUUGUGCUAAGUUAUAGCAUUUUAUAGACAACUUGUUGACUAUGAUUUGUCUUGUAGCUUACUCGCUUAUGUUAUUUUACCUACGCUUAGGAUGUUGACUGAUAUGUAGUCGU
rnacentral:rRNA from 1 species